rnacentral:lncRNA from 1 species
AACAGGCCAAGGCCAGGAGUCGGGCAUGGCUGUUCAAGGAAGUGGUAUAAUGGCCAGACAGGCCUGCUCCCUGCAGUGUUGCUGCAACCUGAAGGGCUGGGUUCCCUCCUGGGCAGGCCAGGGCUCCCAGACAGUGGUGGGGCAGACAAGGUGACUGAGGGCAGGACUGUUCCCCCUGUAGUACCAACUCGCCCCUGUAUGAGUGCCAUCCAGAGCAGAUGCUGCUCCAUCACCCGCAGGGCAGUGGGACAGGAACAACGGACCCAAGUUCCCCCUUGAGGAUUUGUAUGGCCCUGCAGAGAGGCUGUACUGUCAAAGCCAACCUCAAGCAAAGCAGGGACGAGGGUGUGGCUCUAUGACUGGCAGGGCCAUGGGCCAGUCAACUUUCUAUUUCCUCUAAAUAAAACUGGAAUGACUUC